rnacentral:rRNA from 1 species
CCUACGGGUGGCAGCAGUGGGGAAUAUUGCACAAUGGGGGCAACCCUGAUGCCGCGACGCCGCGUGAGUGAAGAAGUAAUUCGUUUUGUAAAGCUCUAUCAGCAGGGAAGAAAAUGACGGUACUUGUGUAAGAAGCCCCGGCUAACUACGUGCCAGCAGCCGCGGUAAUACGGAGGGGGAAAGCGUUAUACGGAUUUACUGGGUGUAAAGGGAGCGUAGAUGGCAGUGCAAGUCUGGAGUGAAAGGCGGGGGCGCAACCCCCGGACUGCUCUGGAUACUGUAUGGCGGGAGUGCAGGAGAGGGAAGUGGAAUUCCUAGUGUAGCGGUGAAAUGCGUAGAUAUGAGGAGGAACACCAGUGGCGAAGGCGGCUUACUGGACUGUAACUGACGUUGAGGCUCGAAAGCGUGGGGAGCAAACAGGAUUAGAUACCCGAGUAGUC